rfam:Lactobacillus namurensis DSM 19117 NODE_15, whole genome shotgun sequence.
GAUCCUGGGUAAUUGCGGUCGGCUUAUGUCGGCUGAGGAAAGUCCAUUCUCGCACAGGCUGCGAUGCCUGUAGUGUUCGUGGUCGGUGAAAAAAUAAGCCGGCGGACGUGCUUGCACGUUACGGCGGAGGAAAACGGCUAAGGCUUCGGCUAUGUCCGAGUACUCCUGAAAGUGCCACAGUGACGAUACGGUUAGGGAAACCUAAUCGGUGGAACGCGGUAAACCCCUCGAGCGGGAAACCCAAACUUUGGUAGGGGAGCUUCACGUAUGGAAUUGAACGACGCGUGGGGCAGACAGAGAUGUCUGAGAUAGAUGAUUACCGCCACAACAUGGUUGCCUGAAUGAUGUUGUGGUACAAAACAUGGCUUACAGGG